AGUCGAGGGGUAACAGGGGUAGCAAUACCUGCUGACGACCGGCGUACGGGUGAGUAACGCGUAUGCAACCUGCCCUAUACAGGAGGAUAGCCCGGAGAAAUUCGGAUUAAUACUCCAUGUAGCAUUUUUUUCGCAUGAAUUAGAUGUUAAAGAUUUAUCGGUAUAGGAUGGGCAUGCGUCCCAUUAGCUAGUUGGUGAGGUAACGGCUCACCAAGGCAUCGAUGGGUAUGGGGUCUUAAAGGAUGGUCCCACACACUGGCACUGAGACACGGGCCAGACUCCUACGGGAGGCAGCAGUGAGGAAUAUUGGUCAAUGGGUGAGAGCCUGAACCAGCCAUCCCGCGUGCAGGAUGACGGUCCUAGUGAUUGUAAACUGCUUUUCUAUGAGAUGAAUAAGAAUUACGUGUAGUUCGAUGACCGUAUUAUAGGAAUAAGCAUCGGCUAACUCCGUGCCAGCAGCCGCGGUAAUACGGAGGAUGCAAGCGUUAUCCGGAUUUAUUAGGUUUAAAGGGUGCGUAGGUGGGCGUUUAAGUCAGUGGUUAAAGCCAUUAGCUUAACUAAUGUAUGCCAUUGAUACUGGAUGUCUUGAAUGUGGUAGAGGUAGGCGGAAUGUGUUGUGUAGCGGUGAAAUGCUUAGAUAUAACACAGAACACCGAUUGCGAAGGCAGCUUACUAUUCCAUUAUUGACGCUGAUGCACGAAAGCGUGGGGAUCAAACAGGAUUAGAUACCCCGGUAGUCCUAGCCAUAAACGAUGGUCACUAGGUGUGGGUGGUGGUCAAGCCAUCCGUGCCGGAGCUAACGCAAUAAGUGACCCACCUGGGGAGUACGGCCGCAAGGCUGAAACUCAAAGGAAUUGACGGGGGCCCGCACAAGCGGUGGAGCAUGUGGUUUAAUUCGAAGCAACGCGAAGAACCUUACCAGGCCUUGACAUAUAGGUGGUAGCGAACCGAAAGGCAAGCGACCCUUAGGAAACUAAAGGAGCCUAUACAGGUGGUGCAUGGUUGUCGUCAGCUCGUGUCGUGAGAUGUUGGGUUAAGUCCCGCAACGAGCGCAACCCCUAUACUUAGUUGCCAGCACUUAGGGUGGGCACUCUAAGUAGACUGCCGUCGACAAGACGGAGGAAGGUGGGGAUGACGUCAAAUCAUCAUGCCCUUUAUGGUCUGGGCUACACACGUGCUACAAUGGCCUGAACAACGGGCAGCUAAGGAGCGAUCCCAAGCUAACCCCUAAAAACAGGUCUCAGUUCGGAUUGCAGGCUGCAACUCGCCUGCAUGAAGUAGGAAUCGCUAGUAAUCGCGGAUCAGCAUGCCGCGGUGAAUACGUUCUCGGGCCUUGUACACACCGCCCGUCACACCACGAAAGUUGGCAACACCCGAAGCCGGG
rnacentral:rRNA from 1 species